GCUCCUGCUGAGUAAAUUUCGAAUCUGCAGAUCAAUCAACUUUUAGCUAUAGCAUUCUCGAUUCCUAGCUAAGACUUCCAGCUAAAAAUCAAUUCUUUCGAUGAAAAAAUAAGAACCCUAAUAAUCAUUUUUGACUAAAGAACUUGAAGUCAAAAUUCAAAGACACAGCGAAUAUUGAUUGAAU